GACGAACGCUGGCGGCGUGCUUAACACAUGCAAGUCGAACGGAAAGGCCCUGCUUUUGUGGGGUGCUCGAGUGGCGAACGGGUGAGUAACACGUGAGUAACCUGCCCUUGACUUUGGGAUAACUUCAGGAAACUUGGGCUAAUACCGGAUAGGAGCUCCUGCUGCAUGGUGGGGGUUGGAAAGUUUCGGCGGUUGGGGAUGGACUCGCGGCUUAUCAGCUUGUUGGUGGGGUAGUGGCUUACCAAGGCUUUGACGGGUAGCCGGCCUGAGAGGGUAACAGGCCAAAUUGGGACUGAGAUACGGCACAGACUACUACGGGAGGCAGCGGUGGGGAAGAGUGCACAAUGGGCGGAAGGCUGAUGCAGCAACGCAGCGUGCGGGAUGACGGGCUUCGGGUUGUAAACCGAUUUCGCCUGUGACGAAGCGUGAGUGACGGUAAUGGGUAAAGAAGCACCGGCUAACUACGUG
rnacentral:rRNA from 1 species